AUUGAACGCUGGCGGCAUGCCUUACACAUGCAAGUCGAACGGCAGCACGGGAGCAAUCCUGGUGGCGAGUGGCGAACGGGUGAGUAAAGUAUCGGAACGUGCCCAGUCGUGGGGGAUAACGUAGCGAAAGUUACGCUAAUACCGCAUACGAUCUAUGGAUGAAAGCGGGGGAUCGCAAGACCUCGCGCGAUUGGAGCGGCCGAUAUCAGAUUAGGUGGUUGGUGGGGUAAAGGCUCACCAAGCCGACGAUCUGUAGCUGGUCUGAGAGGACGACCAGCCACACUGGGACUGAGACACGGCCCAGACUCCUACGGGAAGCAGCAGUGGGGAAUUUUGGACAAUGGGGGAAAGCCUGAUCCAGCCAUGCCGCGUGCAGGAUGAAGGCCUUCGGGUUGUAAACUGCUUUUGUACGGAACGAAAAGGUUUGGCCUAAUAAGCUGAGCUCAUGACGGUACCGUAAGAAUAAGCACCGGCUAACUACGUGCCAGCCGCCGCGGUAACAC
rnacentral:rRNA from 1 species